rnacentral:rRNA from 1 species
GAUGAACGCUAGCUACAGGCUUAACACAUGCAAGUCGAGGGGAAACGAUAGAGAAAGCUUGCUUUUUCUAGGCGUCGACCGGCGCACGGGUGAGUAACGCGUAUCCAACCUGCCCAUCACUUGGGGAUAACCUUGCGAAAGUAAGACUAAUACCCAAUGACGUCUCUAGAAGACAUCUGAAAGAGAUUAAAGAUUUAUCGGUGAUGGAUGGGGAUGCGUCUGAUUAGCUUGUUGGCGGGGUAACGGCCCACCAAGGCGACGAUACAUAGGGGGACUGAGAGGUUAACCCCCCACACUGGUACUGAGACACGGACCAGACUCCUACGGGAGGCAGCAGUGAGGAAUAUUGGUCAAUGGACGCAAGUCUGAACCAGCCAUGCCGCGUGCAGGAUGACGGCUCUAUGAGUUGUAAACUGCUUUUGACUAGGGUAAACUCACCUACGUGUAGGUGACUGAAAGUAUAGUACGAAUAAGGAUCGGCUAACUCCGU